UACAGUCACUUUGUCCAAGUGGGCCAAACCUCCGACUUUUAACUGUGAAUGUGGGCCAAGGUGUCAUACAGUCACUUUGUCCAAGUGGGCCAAACCUCCGACUUUAACUGUGAAUGUGGGCCAAGGUGUCAUACAGUCACUUUGUCCAAGUGGGCCAAACAUCCUACUUUAAACUGUGAAUGUGGGCCAAGGUGUCAUACAGUCACUUUGUCCAAGUGGGCCAAACAUCCUACUUAAACUGUGAAUGUGGGCCAAGGUGUCAUACAGUCACUUUGUCCAAGUGGGCCAAACAUCCUGAUUAAACUGUGAAUGUGGGCCAAGGUGUCAUACAGUCACUUUGUCCAAGUGGGCCAAACAUCCGACUUGAACUGUGAAUGUGGGCCAAGGUGUCAUACAGUCACUUUGUCCAAGUGGGCCAAACAUCCGACUUUGAACUGUGAAUGUGGGCCAAGGUGUCAUACAGUCACUUUGUCCAAGUGGGCCAAACCUCCGACUUUAACUGUGAAUGUGGGCCAAGGUGUAGUUCAGUUCCAAAGCAUCAUGCAACUGUCAAGACGAGGAGUCUGUCUCUGAUGGAUAGUUACUACAGAAGUCAUACCAUAAUUUCUUUUGUGGAGUUAGGCCCUGGGCCUCAUUCUGUGAAUUAAUAUUAGCGCUAUGAUUACUCUAAAAUCAUUUUCAAGUAUGGGAGCUGUCCAUGAGAUUUUAAAGAUUUCUGAAUGCAACAAGGCCCUUGGCACUGUGACCAUCUUUGUCAAGUCCAGGUUAAGGACCUCUUUGUAGUUUAUCGUUCCUGAUUAACAGCAUUUAAUUGUGUACAUGUAUACAUGCGUGCAUGCAGAUCAUUUGCAUUCCUGAAGUAUAUUUUAUAUUAAAAAUGAUUGCAUUUAUCUUGUCGAUAUGUAUGCUAUUGUUCUCAGUGUAUGUUGUGUAUUAUCAUUUGUUAUUGAAGCAUGGAAAAAUAACUAAUGUGGGUUGAUGACAUGAGCCUGUAACAUGCUACUGUUCACAAUUUCAGGUGGUAAAUUGUAAAAUCCUUUUAUUAUGAAUGUAGCCAGUAUAAAAUCUUGCAUACUACAAUUGUAAAUUCACUAAACCAGCAAUGCAUGUUGUGUUUACCAGUGGGUGUGUUCAGUGUGAAGUCCUUGUGUGAAGUCAUUGUGUGGUGCCUGUAACUCUGUAUAUGCAAUAUCUAGAGGACUAUGUGUAACACUGCAAUGUUUCAUUGUACACAGACACAAAGGACACUUUAAGCAUCAUUACAUGUCUCACCAUGUUCACAUCAGAUGGUGUUCACGUCAGAUUGUGUUCACAUCAGAUGGUGUUCACAUCAGAUGGUGUUCACAUCAGAUGCUGUACACGUCAGAUGGUGUUCACAUCAGAUGCUGUACACGUCAGAUGGUGUUCAAGCCCAUUGUGGCUGUACCUGACAUUUGUAAGUCUCUGUGUUUGAAUUAUACAUAUAUUGUGAUAUUUAUUUCAUACAAUAACCUACACAAACAAUAAAAUAUCCAACCACUA